UACGUAGGGUGCAAGCGUUGUCCGGAAUUAUUGGGCGUAAAGAGCUUGUAGGCGGUUUGUCGCGUCUGCUGUGAAAUUUCGGGGCUCAACCCCGAACUUGCAGUGGGUACGGGCAGACUAGAGUGUGGUAGGGGAGACUGGAAUUCCUGGUGUAGCGGUGAAAUGCGCAGAUAUCAGGAGGAACUCCGAUGGCGAAGGCAGGUCUCUGGGCCACUACUGACGCUGAGAAGCGAAAGCAUGGGGAGCGAACAGG
rnacentral:rRNA from 1 species